GGAAAGGUGGCUGAGAGGUCUACAGCGCACGCCUGGAAAGUGUGUAUACAAUACUGUAUCGAGGGUUCGAAUCCCUCUCUUUCCG
rnacentral:tRNA from 1 species